CAACCCUUUUCGCCAAGUGAUAAGAAAGCCAAAUAUACAGAAUACGCCCCUUUUCAGACAAACCUUUUCAGUUCGCUAAAAGCAACAGAAGCAGCACCAUGAAAAAAUUCCUUGUGAUAUUCCUGCUUUUGGCAAUUUUCACAACAAUGGCUGUCGGACUAAAAUGCUACGACUGCGAUCCCUCAAUGGAGGGUCAAUGCAAAAGUUCCAACACCAACCGAGACACUACUUGCGAAGCCAGGGGAGGCAAAUCCAGUAUCCAAAAUCUCUUUCGUUGGCAAUCUGACGCUUCUCAAGGCUAUGUGUGUGUCAGCUUUUAUUAUGAAAGUAAAAACGAAACCUUGAGAGGUGUAUACAGAGGCUGCAAGAGCAAAGAAAUUGAUUCAACAAAUAUUUGCGAUGAAAUCAAAGCCCAAGAAACGCAAAAUGAGGGCGAUACUAUCAAGUCUUGCGAAGAGUGCACGAGUGAUCUGUGUAAUGGUGGACCGGUAGAUGGGGCUGCCAGUUUAGCCCUUUCAAUGGCUGCGUUUUUUGGGGCUGCUGUGUGUUUCUAUUUCUCGAAUUUUUGAUUUAUAUCAAAGAAAUUAUUAGUACACUUUUUGAUGUAAAAUUUUUGCUUAUCAUUGAAUAAACAUUGGAAAACA